rnacentral:rRNA from 1 species
UACGGAGGAGUCUAGCGUUGUUCGGAAUUACUGGGCGUAAAGCGCACGAAGGCGGGCUGGAAAGUCAGGGGUGAAAUCGCGGGGCUCAACCUCGGAACUGCCUUUGAAACUUUCAAUCUUGAGGUCGGGAGAGGUGGGUGGAAUUCCGAGUGUAGAGGUGAAAUUCGUAGAUAUUCGGAGGAACACCGGUGGCGAAGGCGGCUCACUGGCUCGAUACUGACGCUGAGGUGCGAAAGCGUGGGUAGCAAACAGG